CGGACGGGUGAGUAAUGUAUGGGGAUCUGCCUGAUGGCGGGGGAUAACUACUGGAAACGGUAGCUAAUACCGCAUAAUGUCUACGGACCAAAGCGGGGGACCUCCGGGCCUCGCGCCAUCAGAUGAACCCAUAUGGGAUUAGCUUGUAGGUAAGGUAACGGCUUACCUAGGCGACGAUCCCUAGCUGGUCUGAGAGGAUGAUCAGCCACACUGGAACUGAGACACGGCCCAG
rnacentral:rRNA from 1 species